UUUAAUUCAGUAUAGUUAAUAGUUCCGAGCUAUGAUUUUAACGGAUGAGUGGAAAUAUAGCUAGUUUUAACGGACGAAGGCUAUAGUUUUGAGGGGGUAAAUAUAGCUAGUUUUAACUGACAAGGGGUAAAUAUAGCUAGUUUUAGCAGGUGAAGGGUAAAUAUAGCUAGUUUUAACAGUGAGGGGUAAAUAUAGCUAGUUUUAAUAGGUGAGGGGUAAAUAUAGCUAGUUUUUAACCGUUGAAGGGUAAAUAUAGCUAGUUUUUAAAUGUUGAAGGGUAAAUAUAGCUAUUUUUAACAAGUGAGGGGUAAAUAUAGUUAGGUGAGGGGUAAAUAUGGCUAGUUUUAACAGUGAGGGGUAAAUAUAGUUAGUUUUAACGGACGAAGGGUAAAUGUAGCUAGUUUUAACAGGUAAAGGGUAAAUAUAACUAGUUUUUAACAUGUGAAGGGUAAAUAUAGCUAGUUUUAACUGUUGAAGGGUAAAUUUAGCUAGUUUUAACAGUGAGGGGUAAAUAUAGCUAGUUUUAACAGGUGAGGGGUAAAUAUAGCUAGUUUUAACAGGCGAAGGGUAAAUAUAGUCAGUUUUAACAGCGAGGGGUAAAUAUAGCUAGUUUUAACAGGUGAAGGGUAAAUAUAGCUAGUUUUUAAUUGUUGAAGGGUAAAUAUAGCUAAUGUUUAACAGCUCAAGGGUAAGUAUAGCUAGUUUUAACAGUGAGGGGGUAAAUAUAGCUAGUUUUAACUGUUGAAGGGUAAAUAUAGCUAGUUUUUAACAGGUGAGGGGUAAAUAUAGUUAGGUGAGGGGUAAAUAUAGCUAUUUUAACGGACGAAGGGUAAAUGUAGCUAGUUUUAUCAGGUAAAGGGUAAAUAUAGCUAGUUUUUAAUAGGUGAAGGGUAAAUAUAGCUAGUUUUAACUGUUGAAGGGUAAAUUUAGCUAGUUUUUAACAGGUGAAGAAGGGUAAAUAUAGCUAGUUUUAAUAGGUGAGGGGUAAAUAUAGUUAGUUUUAGCGGACGAAGGGUAAAUGUAGCUAGUUUUAACAGGUGAAGGGUAAAUAUAUAGCUCUAAAGUAUGACUGUAGGGGUAUAUUUAUUGAAAAAGGAUAAUGGAUAGUAAAUAUAGCUUAUUUUCGAUUGCAUAUGCGUAAAUAUAGCUUAUUUUUGACAGUAGAUAGGUAAAUAUAACUUAUUUUUGACAUUAGGUGAGCAAAUAUAACUUAUUAGAGGGGCAAAUAUAGCUUAUUUUUUAUAGUAGCGGGGCACAUAUAUGAUCCUUUUUUUUUUGUUU